GGGUCAGUAGGUUGGUCGUGCCUUGGUACGUACUAAUUUAUUGGUUUCUUCCUUCUGACGAACCUUGAUGUCAUUAAUUUGGUGUUUUGGGGAGUCAGGACUGUUACUUUGAAAAAAUUAGAGUGUUUAAAGCAGGCUCGCGCUUGAAUACAUUAGCAUGGAAUAAUGAAAUAGGACGUUUGAUCCUAUUUUGUUGGUUUCUAGGAUUGACGUA
rnacentral:rRNA from 1 species